UUGGUACUGCAGCCCUGAAAAAUCUUCUGUGGUUAUCUUUCAUCCACUUCCUUAUUUUUGUGUUGAGUGGGAGAAGGGGCUGUGUAUCUACAGCCAGGAGGCAAAGAUGGAAUAGAAUGACCAGGAAAACAAAGAGGAAACCUGAAGGCGCGGGAGGCUGUAGGUGUCUUACAAGUGCAGGGAGGAGGCAGGGUGUUCAGGAUGCUUGUUGGAUGGCUCUGGGGAGAAGUUGUGAAGCGAGACAGUGAGGCUUUUUGGUCACAUUUUAUGCAUAACUGAAAAUUGCUGUAAAGCCCUCUAUAAAUUAUAUAAUCACUGACUUUGAUUCCAUGCCCUUUGUUACUAUUUUUAAUAAUGGCUUUUACUUCACUCUCUCCGAAGCAUUUCUAGUAAAUUUAUGGAAUGAAGAGGAAUUAGUCUCUUUCUGGAUUGGGGAGCCCCCUCCUGGGAGGUAGGCAGUUUUGGGUUUGUUUGUUAUUUGUUCUUUUUGAGUAAUGGAGGUAGAGAAAGGUGCAAGGCCAAUUUCACUUAAUAAGGUUCUUAGUGGACAAAUAAUAAUCAUUGUAUAGAGUUUCAGGAAAUUUUGAAGCUAAGAGAAAAAGAUAUUUGGGGACAGUGGAAAGAUAGAAGUUUGUGGCAAGGAUAACAUUAUAGGCAAUAUGUUUUGAUUGCUUUGUACAAAUCUAGAGUCACCACUUUGUUAGUUUAGGAAUAUAAACGUCUUAUGUAACUUUCAGACUCACAGAGUAUUUAUAUUGUAUAUUUAGAAUUGUAAAGGCUCAGAAAAAUACAGUAGGAAAAGUUGAAAUAAUACCAUGUCUUUCUCAUAAAAUUCCAGUCUUAAAGGGAAUAAUUUUCAAAUUCUUAAAAAAUUGUUUCACCCUCUGGAAGCCACAUCUAGGGUGGAGGAUAAGAAGUCACAUGCCCUUAGAGGCCCCAUCUUCUUUCAGGCCUCCGAUUUGAGUACACUUGUCUCACACGUGUCAUGUGUGCGCCUGGUAUGCGCCUGGUGUACUCUCGUCUGCUUUUUUGGAUGCUGGAGAAGGCUUAGUCUAAGAAAAUGUUGAAUUCAUUUGACAGCAAUAUCUAUUAUCAAGGAGGAAAAAUGGCUUUUGCAUUUGCUGGAAUCACCUGUCAGACAUACUUGAAUACUGUUGGGGUCUUUUUCCCAAUCAGCUCUCUGCACGUUACCUCCUGGGUUCAGGUCUUGCCAGAGGAGCCCUACGGGAAAAGUUCAAGCGGAAACUUCAGCUGGAGUGCUUUCUCAUUCUAGAGCCAGGUUUCUAAUUUUCUCCCUCAGUGAAAGCAAGUUAAAAAAGAAUCAUUCAGUCACUUCAGACGAUUUGAAAUGUGCGUCAACUUUUACAAAACGGUGGAUCUCCCAAGAGCUUUGGUGUCAGUUUGAGUUUUAUGGUAAAGGCCACUACCUUGGAAGCUUAGGGGUGGUCAUAGAAAUUUCAGAAGAUGAGCCCGUUGGGGAAAUAGCCAAUUUCCUCCUUCGCUGUCUUCCUUAGGCCUCAUGAGACGGUGCAAGAACAUCAGCACUUAACUUGACUCUACCCGUUGGUGACAGUUUAUUCAUUCAAGCUGGAAGUUUAAGGAUUUUCAUUUAUAAAAGCCGAAUUGUUGAGAUAGAAGCUAAGAGACUGGAGAUCGAACAUCAAGUGACCCUUGAAGAGCUACAACGCUUAAAUGCACUCUUUCAGGUAGGAAUCGAGCAGGUGAGCUUUCUAAAUAAUCAUCUGGGUAAUUUGAUUCUCUUUUUGAUGGCUGAUUUUUCAGUGAAAGUACAAUCCUUUAACUCCUAUAAAAUAGCAAUGAAGAGUAAAUUCUCUGUAAUUGUGACUUCUUAAUGGAUUUGGAAACAAAUUGUGAAAGCAUCAGAGAAACGAACAAAAAGGUAACGUGUUAGAAGUUGACAGAGUUCAGGUAAGUCCAAUUAGACAUUCAGUUCUUGGGACUCUUGCUCCCAGACUAAACAAAAUGCAACUGUGUUCAUAGCUAAUGAUUCUUUUUCCCUCCUAGGAGUAUGAGAAGAGAGAAAGACAGCUGCUGGAUAUGGAAACUUUCAAAUACAUAAUGAAGCAGAGCAUGAGGUCACAGAAGAGAGUAAAUGGGUUUUAUAAAUGUUGGAGCAUUGCGACCACAGUUAAAGCGUUAACCCUAGGAACCAGUUAGGCUUGGAUGGCUUCUGCACAUAUCUGCAGCUCGUGUAUUCUGAGCAAGCUGAUGCUUUGGCUCGACAAAAAGAGGUUUCCUUCCAGCUGCCUGCUGUGCUGCAGGGGCUGUCAUACGGGGGUCCCGUGCUGCGCAUUCUCUCCGCAACUGAUGACACCUUAAUCAUGAUCAGAGAAGAUGGAGCCAUUUAUUUCUGGUCCCUGCAGCUGAAGUUGAAAAGAAGAAAGUGGGUUUUUGUAUGUGAUUCUCAUUUUCUAAGGAUGCUGAGUGCUCCAGUUUGAUUCUAUUUGCUAUUUUAAACUGCUCCUCAAGUGGCAUGAUUACAGAAAUUGUGUCCUUGAAUAUAAUAUAUUCAUGUUGGAUUUUGCCAGUCUACGGAAUGCAAAUAAAAUAUGAUCUCUAUAUGUAGCACAAGAUAAUUCUUCCUCCUGCUUCUAAAAUCAGAUGGAGUGAUGAAUUACAUGUGACUCCAUCAUGUAAUUUACCAUAUAUCUUAAUGAAUGACAAAUGGAAAAGAAUUUUCCAUUUUUCUCCCUGUUAAUGGUUAUUUCAGUUUAGGUGGCUGUGCUAGGGUUUCUCUUCAGAGAACUUAAUGAAUCACAGAAUCAGAACCUCAGAAGGCAAGAAGCAUUUGGGAAGUGCGCUUAGGACAGGAAUAACAAUACCUGACCCAUUCCAGAAUAUAAUCUGUCUUUUAAGUCAUUGUUUCAUUAUCUCAUUCAAUGAAUCGUUGAGCCCUUGUUGCUGCUCAGGCUCUGUGCAGGGUGCUGAGAAUACAGACACCCAUUCCUGCCCUCAGGAAACUUACCAUCCACCCUGGAAGAUACAGCUAAACUAUACCCCUCAGGCUGCCAAAUAAGCCCUGCCUAGAGAGAGGGGCUAAAGUUGGCUCUUCAUGCUGAUGUAGCAAGUUCUCUUUACAGGCAGACCUUGUUUCAUCGCGUUUCUCUGGUACUGCAUUGGUCGCAGACUGAAGGCUGUGGCAACGCUGCAUCCAGCAGGGCUAUCAGUGCCAUUUUCCCAACCGCAGUUGUUCACUUUGUUUCUCUGUGUCACAUUUUGAUAAUUCUUGCAAUAUUUCCCAAUUUUUCACUCUCAUUAUAUCUGUUAUGGUGACCUGUGAUCAGUGAUCUUUGAUGCUACUAUUGCAAAAAGAUAACUACUCGUGGAAGGCUCAGAUGACAGUUAGCAUCUUUUAACAAUAAAGUAUUUUUAAAUUAA